GCGGUGGGCGGCUGCCUCGGCCCCGGAUGGCUGUCUCCACAGAGGGCUGGCACUGGACCCUGCCUGGGGCACCCCACUUGAACCCCUACUCCCGGCCUCAGCUCUGGGACUCUGAACCCAGCACCUGCAAAGAGCCUGGCUGUGGGGACCCUUGGCUGCAGCAUCACAUUUAACCCUCCUUGGAAUGCUACAGGCAGGUGUCAUCACCCCCAUUUUAUAGCCCGGGAAGCUGAGGCUCAGCGGGUUUAAGGUGCUUGUCCACCCAGCUGGGGUAUAAAAGAGCCAAAAAUCUAGCUGGGGUCAGCCUAGCCCCAGAGCUUGAUUUUCUGUGGUGAUCCCAUGAUGUCUUUGUGGGAAUGGACUUUAAAGGUGACAGGGAGGCUUCAGGAGAUGGGAAAGGGACAGAAGCUCUUGGCUCUGGAGGACCAGGUUGGCUUCUCCUGGUCAGAGCGGGCAUGGACUCCAGCUCUAAGGUGCCAGCCUCGGUCUGUAGGGGAUGUUUGCAUUUAGGGAUAUUGGGUGGAGUC
rnacentral:lncRNA from 10 species